GACUGGGUCAAUCCCCAUCGCUCUCUCCAAAUCGACAAGCCGCCGCCGGCAUCCCCUCCUUCCAAGCGCCGCCCCAUCCUUGCAGAGGAAAGAGGAGGCGCCGCGCAGCAGCCACCCUGGCGGCGCGACUGGCCUGAUUGCCGACGCCGCGUGCGUCGAUUCGACGGCGCGCGCGGCUCCGUCGAUCAAGCCGGUCUGCGUCGUGCGCGUGGACGAGGGAGCGCGGUGCGGUGCUGCACGCAGCCGCGGGGACCAGGAGGUCGGGCUGCUCGUCCCGGAUACGCCGCCGUCCAUGGGUUUGUCGACGUCGGAUUCAAAGGUAGCAGGUCCCUCUCCGUCCUUGCUUCGGUAGAGCAGCUGAUUCGACGACAAGAUUUGGUACUAGUAUAGUUGAUCUGAUUCGACCUUCUCUGUCCCCCACCGUUGUCGCUCCAUUCCUCCGCUCCCCCACCCUCUCCUCCGCAUCUCCAGCCGACGUGGGGAGCGGCAUGCCUCCAAUGAGAUAUGUCGGGAGCUGCAGCCAUCCUUGGGGAGUAGCUGGACAACAACAAGGUCUGCAGGUCACCACCGUCUUCCAAGAAGAGCUUGGAGAAGCUAUCCCUUGGAUCAUCUACACUAGGGGCCUAGGAGGUCACGGCCAUUGUCGCCAAGAGAGUGCGCCGUGCCGGAGUGAAGUUUCAUGUCUAUCUUGCAAGAGCUAGCAACUGACCUUUCCAUAGCACUACUGUAUAUGCGAUACGCUACAGAUUAUUAAGCGAAACCAAUUAAGGUGUAAGGUUGACAAGCUGCCGGCGGCUUCCCACACCGCCCCUCCUCCCAAGCUACACCCCAUCCUCGCAGACGAUAGAGGAGGCGCCGUGCAUACAGCAAAGCUAUGGUGGCGCGACUGGCCUGCUCGUUGACGAGCCGUGCAUCGAUUCGGCAGCGCCACAUGGCUCCGUCGAUCACACUGGUCUGCGUCGUGCACGUCGACGAGGGAGCUGCACGCAGCCGCGGGACACUGGUGACCAGGAGGUUGACAUGCUCAUCCUAGAGAUGCCACCUUUCCAGGGCUAGUCAGCGUCGGCUUCAAAGGGUUUCGCCAUUGCCGGCAACGGCAGCCUGGAGAGUCUCCAAAACGAGUAGCAGCACAUGAUCCGCAAGGUGAGCUACCAAUUUCAUGUUCGGUUAGAUCCGGUGUGGUUCGAUUCGUUGAUGUGGAAAAUGCCUGGACUCGCUUCGGUUUCGGUUGCAAGAGCUGCCGGUGCUGGUUGUGGCUCACCCUCUUGUCUAGCUACAUGUUGGAGUGGUGCAGGUAGUAUCCACUCAUUGCACCUGCAUAUUUUGUAUUUACUGUCGUUUGGUUCAAUGGAAAAUAUUAUGUGUUGUGUGA